rnacentral:rRNA from 1 species
UACGUAGGGUGCAAGCGUUGUCCGGAAUUAUUGGGCGUAAAGAGCUCGUAGGCGGUCUGUCGCGUCUGCUGUGAAAACUCGGGGCUUAACCCCGGGCCUGCAGUGGGUACGGGCAGACUAGAGUGCGGUAGGGGAGACUGGAAUUCCCGGUGUAGCGGUGAAAUGCGCAGAUAUCAGGAGGAACACCGAUGGCGAAGGCAGGUCUCUGGGCCACUACUGACGCUGAGAAGCGAAAGCAUGGGGAGCGAACAGG